rnacentral:tRNA from 1 species
GCCGGGAUAGCUCAACUGGAUAGAGCAGCCGCCUUGUAAGCGGCAGGUUCGGGGUUCAAAUCCCCGUCCCGGCUCCA